CGGUUGAUCCCGCCGGAGGUCACUGCUAUCCGAAUCCGACUAAGCCAUGCAAGUCCCGGUGUUCAUUUCUGGACGCCGUGGCGGAAAGCUCAGUAACACGUAGUUAACAUUCCCUCGAGUCCGGGAUAAUCUCGGGAAACUGAGGCUAAUACCGGAUAGACAAGGGGUACUGGAAUGUCCCCUUGCCAAAAGUCCGCGCUCGAGGAUUGGACUGCGGCGGAUUAGGUUGUUGCCAGGGUAACGUCCUGGCAAGCCGAUAAUCUGUACGAGCCUUGAGAGAGGAAGCUCGGAGAUGGAUUCUGAGACAAGAAUCCAGGUGCUACGGGACGCAGCAGGCGCGAAACUUUCCCAAUGCACGAAAGUGUGAGGAAGGGAUUUGGAGUGCUCUCCCUACUUUAGGGGGAGCUUUUGUGGAGCGUUUAUAGCUCCAAGAAUAAGUGGUGGGUAAGACGGGUGCCAGCCGCCGCGGUAAUACCCGCGCCACGAGUGGUGACCACGAUUAUUGGGCUUAAAGCGUUCGUAGCCGGUUCAGAAAGUCUUUAGUGAAAUCCCAUAGCUAACUAUGGGGCCUGCUAGGGAAACUACUGGGCUAGGGACCGGGAGAGGUCUGGGGUAUUCCAGGGGUAGGGGUAAAAUCCUGUAAUCCUUGGGAGACCACCUGUGGCGAAGGCGCCAGACCAGAACGGAUCCGACGGUGAGGGACGAAAGCUGGGGGAGCAAAGGGGAUUAGAUACCCCCCGUAGUCCCAGCUGUAAACGAUGCCCACUAGACAUUGGCAAUCUCACGGGGGUUGCCAGUGCCGUAGCGAAAGCGUUAAGUGGGCCGCCUGGGGAGUACNGUCGCAAGGCUGAAACUUAAGGGAAUUGGCGGG
rnacentral:rRNA from 1 species